CCUACGGUAGGCAGCAGUGGGGGAUAUUGCACAAUGGGGGGAACCCUGAUGCAGCGACGCCGCGUGUGGGAAGACGGUCCUCUGGAUUGUAAACCACUGUCCCCAGGGACGAAGAUGACGGUACCUGGGGAGGAAGCUCCGGCUAACUGCGUGCCAGCAGCCGCGGUAAUACGUAGGGAGCGAGCGUUGACCGGAAUUACUGGGUGUAAAGGGAGCGUAGGCGGGACUGCAAGUUGGGUGUAAAAUCUACCGGCUCAACCGGUAGCCGCACUCAAAACUGCAGUUCUUGAGUGAAGUAGAGGCAGGCGGAAUUCCUAGUGUAGCGGUGAAAUGCGUAGAUAUUAGGAGGAACACCAGUGGCGAAGGCGACCUGCUGGGCUUUUACUGACGCUGAGGCUCGAAAGUGUGGGGAGCAAACAGGAUUAGAUACCCCAGUAGUC
rnacentral:rRNA from 1 species